UCGAGGGGCAGCAUGGUCUUAGCUUGCUAAGGCCGAUGGCGACCGGCGCACGGGUGAGUAACACGUAUCCAACCUGCCGUCUACUCUUGGACAGCCUUCUGAAAGGAAGAUUAAUACAAGAUGGCAUCAUGAGUCCGCAUGUUCACAUGAUUAAAGGUAUUCCGGUAGACGAUGGGGAUGCGUUCCAUUAGAUAGUAGGCGGGGUAACGGCCCACCUAGUCUUCGAUGGAUAGGGGUUCUGAGAGGAAGGUCCCCCACAUUGGAACUGAGACACGGUCCAAACUCCUACGGGAGGCAGCAGUGAGGAAUAUUGGUCAAUGGGCGAGAGCCUGAACCAGCCAAGUAGCGUGAAGGAUGACUGCCCUAUGGGUUGUAAACUUCUUUUAUAAAGGAAUAAAGUCGGGUAUGNAUACCCGUUUGCAUGUACUUUAUGAAUAAGGAUCGG
rnacentral:rRNA from 2 species